rnacentral:rRNA from 1 species
GAUGAACGCUGGCGGCGUGCCUAAUACAUGCAAGUCGAGCGAACAGACGAGGAGCUUGCUCCUCUGACGUUAGCGGCGGACGGGUGAGUAACACGUGGAUAACCUACCUAUAAGACUGGGAUAACUUCGGGAAACCGGAGCUAAUACCGGAUAAUAUAUUGAACCGCAUGGUUCAAUAGUGAAAGACGGUUUUGCUGUCACUUAUAGAUGGAUCCGCGCCGCAUUAGCUAGUUGGUAAGGUAACGGCUUACCAAGGCAACGAUGCGUAGCCGACCUGAGAGGGUGAUAGGCCACACUGGAACUGAGACACGGUCCAGACUCCUACGGGAGGCAGCAGUAGGGAAUCUUCCGCAAUGGGCGAAAGCCUGACGGAGCAACGCCGCGUGAGUGAUGAAGGUCUUCGGAUCGUAAAACUCUGUUAUGAGGGAAGAACAAAUGUGUAAGUAACUAUGCACGUAUUGACGGUACCUAAUCAGAAAGCCACGGCUAACUACGUG